GCUCACUAACGCAACAAUGCGUUUGCCCACCUAUCUACAUCUAGGGGAGACCGUGAUAAGCCCUCUUUCAACAAACGUGGCGUAUUCCUUUAAAAGUGCUGAUUUUU